GAGAGUUCCCGUGUCCUCCUAAGGACUCAUCUGCUCAUACUGUUAGACGCAUACGGCACGUGUCUUUCAUUCAAGGAUUUAUGUCGUACCAAUCAAGAUCAAAAGAUUAGGUUACAGCAAUUUUCCAAUCGCGACUACCAAUCCCCACUUGAAAUAACAUGAGAACGUGGAUAUAUGGCUUUUGAGUUGCCCCAUUCAACAGCAUGAAAAAAUUAAACAACAAAAGAUGACCACAACGAAUAAAAUUAACCAUACAAUGCGAAGAGCAUGAAAACUGUGAACUUCAAAUAAGGAAAAGGCAAAGGUUCAGACAUAUA
rnacentral:misc_RNA from 1 species